GACGAACGCUGGCGGCGUGCUUAACACAUGCAAGUCGAACGGAAAGGCCCUGCUUUUGUGGGGUGCUCGAGUGGCGAACGGGUGAGUAACACGUGAGUAACCUGCCCUUGACUUUGGGAUAACUUCAGGAAACUGGGGCUAAUACCGGAUAGGAUCUCCUGCUGCAUGGUGGGGGUUGGAAAGUUUCGGCGGUUGGGGAUGGACUCGCGGCUUAUCGGAUUGUUGGUGGGGUAGUGGCUUACCAAGGCUUUGACGGGUUGCCGGGCUGGGAGGGUGAGAGGCCCCAUUGGGCCUGAGGUAAGGCACAGACUCCUACGGGAGGCAACAGUGGGGAAUAUUACACAAUGGGCGGAAGCAUGAUGCAGCAACGCAGCGUGCGGGAUGACGGCCUUCGGGUUGUAAACCGAUUUCGCCUGUGACGAAGCGUGAGUGACGGUACUGGGUAAAGAAGCACCGGCUAACUACGUG
rnacentral:rRNA from 1 species